GACGGAAGGGGCGAGCGUUAUCCGGAAUCAUUGGGCGUAAAGGGCGCGUAGGCGGCUUGGCAAGUCUGGUGUGACAGCCCGCGACUCAAUCGCGGGGGGUCGCUGGAGACUGCUGAGCUAGAGGGCAGCAGAGGUCGGUGGAAUUCCGGGUGGAGCGGUGAAAUGCGUAGAGAUCCGGAGGAACACCAGUGGCGAAGGCGGCCGGCUGGGCUGUCCCUGACGAUGAGGCGCGAAAGCGUGGGGAGCGAACCGG
rnacentral:rRNA from 1 species